CUCCUACGGGACGCAGCAGUGAGGAAUAUUGGUCAAUGGACGAGAGUCUGAACCAGCUAAGUAGCGUGAAGGAUGACUGCCCUAUGGGUUGUAAACUUCUUUUAUACGGGAAUAACGCGCCUUACGUGUAGGGCUUUGCAUGUACCGUAUGAAUAAGGACCGGCUAAUUCCGUGCCAGCAGCCGCGGUAAUACGGAAGGUCCGGGCGUUAUCCGGAUUUAUUGGGUUUAAAGGGAGCGUAGGCCGCAUGUCAAGCGUGCUGUGAAAUGUCCGGGCUCAACCCGGGCCUUGCAGCGCGAACUGGCG
rnacentral:rRNA from 1 species